ACCACCAUGCAUUACUGAAAAUGUACACAUGUAGUAUUCUUCUAUGCAGCAAAAAGAGACGUUACUGGCCUACGAGUUCGAAUACAAAAUGUGUCGAAAAUAUAAAGCAUUUCUGGUUUCCAGAAGCUGUCUGUGCAACCUGGUCAUCUGAAAUUGAAAAGAACUCAUAUUACAUUAGAUCAACGUAGAAAAUGUACUUGAUAAAUAGUGUGAAUAGUAAAAGUAUAGUCCUGACCUCUGCUAUAUCUCGCUCCGCUGCUGCCAUCUGUUCAUUGGCUGUGCCUCUAGGAUUAACGUGUCUUUCCUGUAUCAUCUCUGCACAUACACGGAUCUGUCGCUGUAGCUCACUGGCGGAUCUGGUGGGUUUACAGGUCCAAAAUUACAAGGGGGUCCUGAAUUUUCAAGUGUUUUGCUAGAGCCUGUAGGAUCCUGGUCUGUGUCUUAAAAUAUGACUCAUAAGUCAAUGUGUAUUUUACCAAUGUUAACAGAAUUCAUUUGAUUUGUUUAAAUGUAUUGUGUAUGAUGUUGUAAAGGCACAAUGUAGUUUCAAAAGAACAAAGAAAUUGUUUGGUUUCGGU